CGGUGGGCAAGCUGGCGACUAAGAGGAGUGCAGACGCUGCCUGUGACCGUGUGGCGCGUCUCUGUGGGGCAAGGAACUGCAAGAUAGCCAGAAUGGCUGAAAAUGGUGAUAAUGAAAAAAUGGCUGCUCUGGAGGCCAAAAUCUGUCAUCAAAUUGAGUAUUAUUUUGGAGACUUCAAUUUGCCACGGGACAAAUUUUUAAAGGAACAGAUCAAACUGGAUGAAGGCUGGGUUCCUUUGGAGAUAAUGAUAAAGUUUAAUAGGUUAAACCGUUUAACGACAGACUUUAAUGUAAUAGUAGAGGCCCUGAGCAAAUCAAAGGCAGAACUCAUGGAAAUAAGUGAAGAUAAAACUAAAAUUAGAAGAUCUCCCAGCAAACCCCUCCCUGAAGUGACUGAUGAAUAUAAAAAUGAUGUAAAAAACAGAUCUGUUUAUAUUAAAGGCUUCCCAACUGAUGCAGCUCUUGAUGACAUAAAAGAAUGGUUGGAAGAUAAAGGUCAAGUACUAAAUAUUCAGAUGAGAAGAACGUUGCACAAAGCAUUUAAGGUUCAAUAUUUGCUGUAUUUGAUAGUAUUGAAUCAGCUAAAAAGUUUGUCGAGACCCCUGGCCAGAAGUACAAAGACACAGACCUGCUAAUACUUUUCAAGGAAGAUUACNUGCCCUCCCUGCCUGAGGUGAGAAGGCCGUUUGCGCUUUCAUCCAUAUCAAAGGAGCUACCCAUCUGCUGUGUGACCCAUCAUCUCCCCUGCCAGUUGGAACAGGUAGAUUGGCUUCUCGGGAAGGCCCUGGAAUGUGGGAGUCCAGAGUCUCACUGCGGCCACUGGAGGCCCAACCGGAGGAACCAGCCCGAGUCCUGUAAGCCUCCGGACUCCUCAGCGAUCCCAACAGCUCCACAGGUUGUAGAGCCGCCUGCCCCAGCAGGCUGCAGCCUCAGCUGGAGAGACAGUGAGCUCACGGGCUUUAUCACCCUGGCUGCUGCCACUACAUUCGCUAAACUCUACCCUCCACUCCCGGGCAUGACUAGACUAAUGCAGACUAUUUUCCGCACCCAUUGA